rnacentral:rRNA from 1 species
UACGUAGGUGGCAAGCGUUGUCCGGAUUUAUUGGGUUUAAAGGGUGCGUAGGCGGCUUAUUAAGUCAGUGGUGAAAUACUCCAGCUUAACUGGAGGGGUGCCAUUGAUACUGAUGAGCUUGAGUACAGACGAGGUAGGCGGAAUUGACGGUGUAGCGGUGAAAUGCUUAGAUAUCGUCAAGAACACCUAUAGCGAAGGCAGCUUACUAGGCUGUAACUGACGCUGAGGACGAAAGCGGUGGGAGCAA